rnacentral:lncRNA from 1 species
GUGAAAUUGUUAAUGAUGUUAUGUUAUAUGCUUGGCAACUGCCCACUAAGUACUCUUGUACUUAGCCUUUCGAUGUUUAUGUUUGUGCAGGUUGAGCUGUGAUGGGCGAUGAAGUGUUGUUGCUGAGUAGAGUUUUUGUCGAACUUAAAGUAGGCUCAGAAAGGAUACAUGUCUUCAUACAUGUAUCUCAGUUAUGCAUUCCGCUGUAAACACUGAUUAUUUCAGUUACACCUUCCGUUGCAAACUCUGAUAAUGUUUUAGCCAAGCCCCUAACGAUGCCUUUUUCCUUUUAAGGAAUAUAAUGCGUAUACAAGUUCUUUGAGUACCCUUUUUAUGCGAACUAUGCCUUUUUCCUUUUUAAGGAAUAUUUCACACGUAUUCAAGCUCUUUGAGUAUUCUUUUAUGCACCCCUUUCUAAACCCGCUUCGUAAUUUCCUUUCCCCAGUCAUGGUUUCCCGACUUAAUUAUCCCUAAUUAAGGUCGGUCGUGACAGAACAAGGCACGAGUUCCCGCAUCUUCCAAGCUCAACACUGCACUAAAACCCCAAAACGAAGAAAACAAAGAAAACAAAGAAACAAAAAGAAACCAAACGAAACAAAAACUAAACAAAAACGGUUGGGUUACCUCCCAACAAGUGCUUAAGUUAACGUCUAGAGCUCGACGAUACCUCAUGGCUCAUCCUAUCCCCACACGGUGGAAAACAAAGAGAGGCAUCAAAAGAAGAUAAACCUCUAAAUCCCAUAACACCUCUAAAAAUGUAUGCCAACC